GAGCCAUUGGUUACUUGGACAACCUGGAAGCCAACUCCAGGCUUUUCAUCCUCUGACUGAGCAUAACAAACAGAACUUAGUGUUUUUCUCAGUGAGGUUUAAGCAGAAACUGCCUGGCCAUAUUUCUUUCUCUUGCUGUUGUGCUCUGUGUCACAGAGGACGGUUUCCUCCCCUUCAGUGAUGYUCCUGCUUACCGUUUGUGCCACAUAGCUCUGUGAGAUAUCUCUCAUUACCAUGGCAGCUUCUUGUUGCUGAUCUGAAAUCUUCAAUCUUCAUUUGCUGCCAGGUUUAUUUGCAAUAUU